rnacentral:lncRNA from 1 species
AUGGUCCUAGUUGACCCUUUCCUCUCCUUUCUUCCCUCCCUUCCCACCUCCACCUCCCCCUUCCCCAUCCCCUACCCCUUUCCUUACCACCCUAUUCCCCUUUCCCUUCCUCUUUUCCCUUUCCCUUUAUGUUUCCGUUUCCCUUCCUCUUUCCCUUUCCCUUCCACUUCCCCUUUCUCUUUCCCUUUCCCUUCCCCUUUCCCUUUUCCUUUCCCUUUCCCUUUCCUUUCNUCCCUUUCCCUUUCCCUUUCCCUUUCCCUUUCCCUUUCCCUUUCCCUUUCCCUUUCUCUUUCCCUUUCCCCUUUCUCUUUCCUUUUCCCUUUCCUUUCCUUGUCCCUUAAAAGGCAGCCUGGCCAUCAAAUGGGUAGGCUGUUCUCUUUGCUCUUUUCAGCACGUUUGAUACACAUACCCUCCAUUAUCUUUUUUCUAGAUCACAGAAAUCUUGAAAAGGACAAGACCCAGAAUAGAUACUGUGACAUCCAAUUGUUACCAGACUUCCUGAAAUGUGCAACACAUAGACCAUGUCACUCAGAGCCUAGUAAUUCAACAAGAGAUUUACAGACUGGGAGACUGCACCAGGGAAAACUGAGCAAAUGAAGGGAAAGAAGGUACAGAGUACAUCACCUGCCCAAUUCAGCAAUAGAAUCAUAUUUUUCUUGUUCAGUCCUUCUAAUAUCAGACUAAUAUUGAAGCUCCUUUUGUUGUCUUUUAUGUCUUUCACAUGAUUUUAAUCUAGUCAGACUUCAGUUCUUGUAACAAAAACACUACAUGCUAGCCAAGUGUUUCUAAACUCCUUCUUCACAAACUCUCCCUGAUUCAAGUGCCUGUAUGCUGUCUUUGUGCCUUGAAUCCCUGUUGAAAGGAAUAAGUGUUAAAAGCCAUCUUCCAGUAAGUCUGCUCAUCUCCCUGAGUGCCACAGUGGAAAAUCUGUUCUUUCACUUGAAGAUGUUCUUAAAGAUACGUUUGAUUUUCUGAGCUCCUUUGCCUUUGAGUACUGCUUAGAACAAAUUGCCAUCUAAUAAACCCCUGAAUAAGAGUUGCA